UAGGUAUUCACCUCGACACCUGCUAAUGCUUUAUCAAAAUGCUUGUUCUUCAAGCCUUUAGCUUGCCGUCACUUAUACGAGGAAUCUUUGUCUCCAGGUACCUGAAAGCAGUUCCAUUCUUGUUCAAGGCCUUCACAAAAUUUUUCAAAAGCCCUAAUUUGAUGUGGAGUGGUGGCAGCAGAAUUUUCUUGGGGUCAACUAGUGGCACAGUUUACACCUUGUGAUUUCCAGCCUGGCAUGAGCAGAGAUCGUCAAUAUUGGAGGAUGAAGGGCCAGCCAGAAGGAGAACAUCUACGUCAGCCAACUAAGUCACCUGGGUUGCAGGAUUGCCAUAUAUGUUUCCAUGCCUGAGGGACUGUCCUUCCGAGAGGAACAACGAAAGGACCCUUCUUUGCAAAUUAGCUAAUCCUGAAAAACAGAAGCUACUUCAGCAGAAGGUAGAAUUUCUGUUAGAGCAUGAGUUAGUGGAGGAGUCAUCUAGUCCAUGGGCUUCACCGUGCAUCCUUGUUAAAAAAAACUGAUGGAGGUUUUCGCAUGUGUACAGACUACCGUAAGGUGAAUGAGGUCACAAUUACAGAUGCUUACCUUCUUCCUCGUCUGGAUGAUGUAA